ACGAACGCUGGCGGCACGCUUAACACAUGCAAGUCGAACGAGAGAAGAGAAGCUUGCUUUUCUGAUCUAGUGGCGGACGGGUGAGUAACACGUGAGCAAUCUGCCUUUCAGAGGGGGAUACCGAUUGGAAACGAUCGUUAAUACCGCAUAACAUAAUUGAACCGCAUGAUUUGAUUAUCAAAGAUUUAUCGCUGAAAGAUGAGCUCGCGUCUGAUUAGCUAGUUGGUAAGGUAACGGCUUACCAAGGCGACGAUCAGUAGCCGGACUGAGAGGUUGAUCGGCCACAUUGGGACUGAGACACGGCCCAGACUCCUACGGGAGGCAGCAGUGGGGAAUAUUGCACAAUGGAGGAAACUCUGAUGCAGCGAUGCCGCGUGAGGGAAGAAGGUUUUAGGAUUGUAAACCUCUGUCUUCAGGGACGAAAAAAGACGGUACCUGAGGAGGAAGCUCCGGCUAACUACGUGCCAGCAGCCGCGGUAAUACGUAGGGAGCGAGCGUUGUCCGGAAUUACUGGGUGUAAAGGGAGCGUAGGCGGGAUCGCAAGUCAGAUGUGAAAACUAUGGGCUUAACCCAUAAACUGCAUUUGAAACUGUGGUUCUUGAGUGAAGUAGAGGUAAGCGGAAUUCCUAGUGUAGCGGUGAAAUGCGUAGAUAUUAGGAGGAACAUCAGUGGCGAAGGCGGCUUACUGGGCUUUAACUGACGCUGAGGCUCGAAAGCGUGGGGAGCAAACAGGAUUAGAUACCCUGGUAGUCCACGCCGUAAACGAUGAUUACUAGGUGUGGGGGGACUGACCCCUUCCGUGCCGCAGCAAACGCAAUAAGUAAUCCACCUGGGGAGUACGACCGCAAGGUUGAAACUCAAAGGAAUUGACGGGGGCCCGCACAAGCAGUGGAGUAUGUGGAUUAAUUCGAAGCAACGCGAAGAACCUUACCAGGUCUUGACAUCGUAUGCAUAGCUCAGAGAUGAGUGAAAUCUCUUCGGAGACAGAUAGACACGUGGUGCAUGGUUGUCGUCAGCUCGUGUCGUGAGAUGUUGGGUUAAGUCCCGCAACGAGCGCAACCCUUAUUGUUAGUUGCCAUCAUUUAGUUGGGCACUCUAGCGAGACUGCCGGUGACAAACCGGAGGAAGGUGGGGAUGACGUCAAAUCAUCAUGCCCCUUAUGACCUGGGCCUCACACGUACUACAAUGGCUGUCAACAGAGGGAAGCAAAGCCGCGAGGUGGAGCAAACCCCUAAAAGCAGUCUUAGUUCGGAUUGUAGGCUGCAACCCGCCUACAUGAAGUCGGAAUUGCUAGUAAUCGCAGAUCAGCAUGCUGCGGUGAAUACGUUCCCGGGCCUUGUACACACCGCCCGUCACGCCAUGGGAGUCGGUAACACCCGAAGCCUGUAGUCUAACCGCAAGGAGGACGCAGUCGAAGGUGGGAUUGAUGACUGGGGUG
rnacentral:rRNA from 1 species